rnacentral:lncRNA from 1 species
AAGCCUUCACAAGCCCUGCCGCCAGCUGCCAGCCACCCUUCCUCCCUGGGAGAGCCAGAAAGGGAAGCAUAGUGAAGCCCUACAUGGUGGCCUCCAUCAACAGGGAGGCCCCUCUCCUCCCUCUGCCGCAGCCAUCCUACUUUCGGCCAGAAUGUCCCAGGGCCAAACUGAGGACAGGGCGGCCUCUCCAGAAUCCUGCCCUUAGGGGCCCUGCCAGAGACUGGUUUUUCUUGUUGGAGGCACCUCUGCACAGUUUGCAUUUAUAAGGCCUGAAGAACUCAUCCCAAGAACCCAAGCCCACUUGCAAAGAUGGGAUAGAGAAGGGGCAUGGCAUUCCACAGAUGGGCUCACUCUGGAGAGGAGCUACUGACCCAGCAGCAGUUCCCCCUCCCUCACCCCUGCUCACCACCCCAGGAAGACAUCCGAAUCCCCAUCAAAUGGUCCCUGCCAAGAGCAUCGUGGUAACAUGGGGAAAGAGAGGAUGCUAAGUUGCCCCUCUGCCCACUGGACUCCGUCUCAUCUGAGGAGAAUUCCACAGCAGCCCCUUCUGGGCUGUGCUCUUUAUGUCUCUAAGCCACUUCCUGUUUCCUUUUCUAGGUCAUAAGCCAGGCUUAUAGUUGGUGUGAGUCACUUACCUAGGAAGCCCAGAGCACACGGCUGCCUCUCAGGGAGGGAGCAAAGGAUACAGCUUAGAAGUGCAAGGCACUGGUUUGCUCCUAAAACACAUAGAUUGUCCUAGACUUUUAGCAGUGCUGUGUACCAUGGCCCCCAAGCAACGCACGCCUGGGAGAUCCGUGAUUUGCCCAAUUUGCGUUCCUCUGCUGAUGCCAGGCUUUCAGUUCCCAGGAGGCACCGGACAAGCGUAGUUUUGCAAAUGAAACAUUGCUUUGCCAAGGGGCUAGGCCUAUCAGACAAUCAUCAGGCAACAGCCAGCAGGCCCUGUGAAAGUCAUGGCCAAGAAGCCAUUCAAAAGCAUUGUCUUCUAGUAACUAAAUUUCAAAUCCAGGGGGAAACCACAGCUCAGACAUCGGCCAGUGUUCAGCAAUCUGGAUUCACAGGGAAACGGACAGGAAUAGAUUCUGCACAAGUCUAUUGUGCAUUGUUUUCCCUUCAUGACAUCUAGGCAGUUUAUUCCUCCUGACUUCCACUACUCACUGCAUGAGGAUUAUUCUGUGGAAACCAGAGUACUAAGGACGAGGCGCUGGAUGAUUUGGUCAAAGUCAAAUGUGCCAAGUCAGCAUCGAGCAGCUAUUUUUGCCUUCCAAUUCCAUUCCCUGAACUUUUUUUCUGUGAAAGUGUCUUGUAAGCUGGAACACACCUGAGGUGGCAGAGGAAAAGCAGAGUUCGAAUCUCUUCCCCAGGCCUCUGAGUGAGUUUUGCAUUCAGGGAUGAUACUGGGGCAAGGGGCUUGAAAGGUCCUGAUGUUGCUGACACCCACAUAAAACACUUUCUGCAGCAGGGAAGGGAAGGGGAGAGGAAAGAACAGGCAGAGAAAGACCCAGAAACUCAGAUCAGCCUAGGAUGAGGGUAGCUGUCCUGAAAACAAUCAGAAAUCCAGAGUCCUGACUCUCCAGCAGGUAUGGUCUUGAUCCUAGUGAGAUUAUCUUCAAAGAGAAAACAAACUCUAGUCAUGCAGAGAAGCAGCAUUGUUCCAUGCAGAUCUAUAAAAAACAACAGAAAGAGCAUCAUCCCCUUAAUUAUUGAGGGAAUAGGAAAAUAGGAAUCCGCAUACCCUGCUGUUGAGAAUAUAAACUGGAAAAACUGAGGUGGGGAAUCAGUUGAGGCCAGGAGUUCAA